GUCCAGGCCAGUGCUUAAGCCAAUGGAGAAGGGAGGAGGUAAGGAAGUUGGAGUCAAAGAGGCAGUCUUGGGGCCCUUGUGAAUUGAUGAAUAUGAAGACACUAAGAAAGCAGAAAUAGAACUGAGAAGAAUGAAAUAACUGUCUCUACCUUUCUCGAAUUGUCUAAUAUGGAAAGAAUGAAAGACAGCUAAUAAGCAACUCUCUGCAAGAAGACAUAUGGCUUAGGUUCUGCUGAGCUAUUGGUGAUUUGAUUCCAUGCAUAUGUAUUCACUACUGAAUCUACUUGGAGAGAGUCAAACACAGAAUCCCUUUGAAUUUAAUGGCCAUUCCAGGUGAUUUGAACAGCCAAAUAAGAAACAGGUCCUCUUCAAUGUACAAUCUGCCAAGUAUGAAGUCUGAAUGACCAUCAUUAUUAUGUAUUUAAUGUGCAUAGAAAAUCUAUCUGCAACCUUCCAGAGUGUACCAGAAGUUUGGAAUGUACAUUAUUAUUGGCUCCAUCUCAAACCACUCAUAAAUCAAAGAAAAUAGCAGUUCCAGAGGAAUCAUCAUAGAGGCUUCUAGGCCCCCAUGCUGUGUGAACCUGGUGAGAAAGGGAAGUCUGCUCUCACUGGACACUGGAACUGUUUGUCUCUGUCUCUGCUGUACUUUCCCUGCCUCUACCUCACUUAGUAAAGAAAUCAUCUUUGCUUGAUAACUAAAACAACCAAUAAGGCUGAGAAAGGGGAAAACCCACAUCUGGAUUUAAAUACAAGGUAUUGGGCCAGCUGCUGGGGAUUAAACUUUGAACAAAACAGAUAGAAUCUAUGUCCUCAUGGGAGUGGCUAAUGGGAGAGUCGGAACAAAAAAAUAGCCAAGGAUAAUCCAGCAAAUGAUUUGGUGAAUGCUAUCAAAGAGAGAAAUACACAUGCUCUGGGAACACCAAACAGAGUCUUGCUCUUGUUGCCCAGGCUGGAGUAUGAUGGUGCGAUCUCAGUUCACUGCAACCCCUGCCUCCCAGGUUCAAGUGAUUCUCCUACCUCAGCCUCCUGAGUAGCAGGGAUUAUAGGUACAAGCCACCACACCCGGCUAAUUUUUAUAUUUUUAGUAGAGACGGGGUUUCACCACAUUGGCCAGGCUGGUCUCGAACUCCUGACCUCAGGUAAUCUGCCCCUCGGCCUCCCAAAAUGCUGGGAUUAACAGGCAUGAGCCACAGCACCUGGCUGACUUUGCCUGUUUUAUAAUUUCACACAAUAAAAUCAUGCACUGUGCAUUUCUUUGUAUUGUCUCCUUUCACUCAGCAUAAUGUCUGUGUGAUUCAACCCUGUGGUGAUGUGUCAUUUUUUUAAAAAAAAUUAAGAUAUUUUAUUAUAUGAACAUACCAUAAUUUGUUUAUUCAUUUGGUGAACAUUGUGUUGAUGCCAGGUUUGGGCCAUUAUGAAUAAAGCUGCUUUGAAUGUUUAUGUACAAGUCUUUUGUGUACACAUGUGUUUUUAUUUCUCUUGAGUAAACACCUGGGAGUGGGAUUGCUGGGUUUUAUGCUUAGGUAUGUUUUUGACUUUGUCAGAAACUGCUAAACUGCUUUUCAAAGUAGUUGUACCAUUUUACACUCUCACAGGCAACGCAUGAAAAUUCCCUUGGCAACGUUUGAUAUUGCCAAUCUUUAAUUUUAGUUAUUCUAGUGGGUAUAGAGUAAUAUCACAUUGGUUUUAAUUUAUAUUCCCAAAAUGACUAAUGUUUAACAUCUUGGAUAUUCACAUGUCUUUGUGAAGAGUCUACUAAAAUCUUUUGCCCUUUUAAAUAAAUUGUAUUAAUUGCCUUCCUAUUGAGUUGGAGAUAUGCUUUAUGUAUUCUGGAUAUACUCCUGUAUCCAUUAAGGUGUUGCAAAUAUUUUCUUCCAGUCCGCUUUUUCAUUUAAAAAAAUUUUUUUUUGAAGACAGCAGAAGGAUUUACUGUUGAAAAAGUCCAAUUUAAGCACUUUAAAAUUU
rnacentral:lncRNA from 10 species